rnacentral:rRNA from 1 species
UAGGGAAUCUUCCGCAAUGGGCGAAAGCCUGACGGAGCAACGCCGCGUGAGUGAUGAAGGUCUUCGGAUCGUAAAACUCUGUUAUUAGGGAAGAACAAAUGUGUAUGUAACUAUGCAUGUCUUGACGGUACCUAAUCAGAAAGCCCCGGCUAACUACGUGCCAGCAGCCGCGGUAAUACGUAGGUGGCAAGCGUUAUCCGGAAUUAUUGGGCGUAAAGCGCGCGUAGGCGGUUUUAUAAGUCUGAUGUGAAAGCCCACGGCUCAACCGUGGAGGGUCAUUGGAAACUGGAAGACUUGAGUGCAGAAGAAGAAAGUGGAAUUCCAUGUGUAGCGGUGAAAUGCGGAGAGAUAUGGAGGAACACCAGUGGCGAAGGCGACUUUCUGGUCUGUAACUGACGCUAAUGUGCGAAAGCGUGGGGAUCAAACAGG